GUCUAUGGCCAUGCCACCCUGAACAAGCCCGAUCCUGUCUGAUCUCUGAGGUAAGCAGGAUCGGGCCUGGUUAGUACUUGGAUGGGAGACCACCUAGGAAGACCAGGUGCUGUAGGUG
rnacentral:rRNA from 1 species